rnacentral:rRNA from 1 species
UACAGAGGGUGCAAGCGUUAAUCGGAAUUACUGGGCGUAAAGCGUGCGUAGACGGUUAUGUAAGUCAGGUGUGAAAGCCCCGGGCUCAACCUGGGAAUGCCAUUUGAGACUGCAUAGCUAGGGUACGGAAGAGGGAAGCGGAAUUUCAGGUGUAGCGGUGAAAUGCGUAGAUAUCUGAAGGAACACCAGUGGCGAAAAGCGGCUUCCUGGUCCAGUACCGACGUCAGGCACGAAAGCGUGGGGGAGCAAACAGG